UGUUUGAUUUAUGUUUUAUGUGUCCAAACGAUGAGAGCGUCGCAGUGAAACAAUACCUAAGCUGCCCAAGGUUUGGCCUUGGUUGAGUUUCAGUUUGGUUAGAAGGCAGAAGGCAUAGCGCCUCUGCCCUCUCCUUAGUUGCAAAAACGAGUGCGACGACUGCUAGUGCUGACUACUGAAAUCUGCUGAAAGGAAGACUGGAGGGCCUUUAGCAGCAGCAGCAGUGGAGCUUGGAAGGCUGCCUUGAGGCUGCCUGGCUGGCCUCUACAACAGAGACGAAGUUUAGAAGUAAUUUGUCAACAAUGUUGUCCAUGCUGCAAGAGGUGGCUGACGAGCACCAACCAGCGUGUGCAGCAGCCGUUCCGUUGUAAACGGUGCGCUGACCGCGGAGCCGGGGGUUGUCGACCGCCGGCUGGCACUCACCACCGUCCACCCCAAGCUGGCCAUCAUCGACUGGCUCGAGAACACCAGCACGCUGAACCAGUUCAUCAGCUCGACGUGCCCCGACUUCGAGCAGCAGUGCGCCGAGACGCGCGAGCUGUUCACUGGGAGCAGAUGAAGCGACAUGGGACUCAGAGCGGCGCCACUGACGUGCAGCUGCAGCUGAUCGGAAUCGACAGGACACGUGUUCGCGGCUCGGCCACCACUCAUCAGCCUGCUGCUCCUGCCGUUCCGUCUGACGGCGCCGAUGACCGGGCUGGCGGCGUCUCUCGACGCGUCCGGCCACACCCGGCUGCAGGCGCUGCGCUCGUCGCUUUGGGUUGUAAAUGCCGUCGAGCAGUGAGGGUUGCCUCGCCGAGUCGUGUGGGCGCUCCUCACUGUAGAGGUCGCUGUGAGCGCUGUGCUCCUCUUCGACCAGAGGAUAGGUGGCGGUAGCGGUCGGUACGCAGCCAGCAGCGUACUGACACGUCAUAGACCGAUUGAAGGUCUUCAGUGCGUUAUGAAUAUGGCGCGGGUAGCUCGAUUCCGGCGGCGGCGUGACACAGUGACCCCGUGACCUCUAGCCGUGUCGGUCCGUGUGCGCGGCCCAUUCGCCCACGACUUGGGUUGUCGAUGGCGGCUGCCGGCGCCCUUAAAAUCGUACGUGUUUUAGACAAAAAGGGAAGACUUUAGUGAUAGUGAUGUUAAAAGGUAUAAUUUAUUUUUCUAAUGAUUUUAUUGCGUGCUUUGGCUGAGUGUCUUGAUUUAAGUUUGUUUGCUUUCAAAUUUACGAUAAUAGAACAGCACAGGGUCAAAAGGCGGUUAAGACGUAGAACAGUUGCUGUUACAUUGGGCUUUGAACGCGAGCCGGCCGGCCGAGUGAUUACUGCGCGCGCGCGCGCCGUAUAGGAGAUACUGAUUCGGAGAUACUGAUUUCCAAGAUCGUCGAGCGCCAAGUUCUGCGAUGGCAAUAUCUCCUGAAUAUAGUGAACACUGAACACAGCGGCAGAUGACAACGCCUUGACAAUUGUUUUCGUCGUAAUACGUGCUACUCAAAGAAUGCCACGAAGGUGUGUCGUUGCUUUCUUUGCUAGUCCGCACAUCUGAGAUCGUUUGAGACAAGUGUUUGAAGUUUAACCGGAAUCGCUCUGAUAGCUGCGAUGCAAAUUCCAACAGCUGUUAUUCUACUAAUGAAAAGGUAAUUAUGCUAUUGCUGGCCAUGAAUUAUGAAUAAAUCACAAAUUUUGUGAAAGCAA
rnacentral:lncRNA from 1 species